ACCCCCUUCACCUGUUUCUUGGAGAGAAGGGCAAAGUCUCUGGAGCAGGGCUUGGCUCAUCAUGGGCUACUUAACAAAAUGUGCUACUGCCCAUCAGCACAUUCAGCCUGGUUUGGCAAGAUGCAAAGAGAAUUCACCCAAAACUAAGAGACUAGGGCCACAAGAGUGGCAUGCUCUGUCGAAGUCCUUCUUAAGUGUAGUUCAACCAGAACUGCCAGUUCCACCUCCCCUCCCCUUCCCUCCCCUUCUCUUCCCUCCCCUCCCCUCCCAUCUCCCAAGGACUUUUGAUAUCUAGGGAAAUGGAUUUUUCUUUGUGUUUGUUAUCAAGAACUAUGAGCUCAGACCAAAGGCCUGCAUCAACCUGUAGCUCUUUCCAGUUGAGAUACAAAUAGUUACUGCCCAGGAGAAAAGACAACCCUAAAACAGGGGUUCUCAGUCUUCCAACAUCUGUGACUGUUUUGUACACUUUAAUAUAUGUUGUGGUGACCCCAACCAUAAAAUUAUUCUCAUUGCUACUUCAUACCUGUAAUUGUGCUACUCUUAUGAAUUGUAAGUAAAUAUUUGUGUUUUCUAAUGGUCUUAGGUGACCUCCAUAAAAGGGUCAUUCCAUUCAACUCCUGAAGGGGUUGUGACCUUCAGGUUGAGAACUGCUGUCCUAAAGAUUGAUAUUUUUUUCUUCUUAAGACGUCAUAGGACAAUAAGCAGUUCACAUUUCAUCCAGGAAUUCUCCUUUCUUUCUGUUUAAAUGCCCUGAGUAAGUCCCGGCUCCCUCACAGUUGUCUUAGAAGCAGCCCUAUCAUCCUGCCUUGGGCACUUCAGUCUCUGUGUGUUUAUGAGCUUUGUUCAUAAUGCUGACAGUUAUACUUAAUAGUAACAGGUAUGCCUUUUCCUCCAUGUCUAAAGCAAUGAAAAGCCAAAACAGUGACAUUUGUGUGUCUAACACUGAGUAAUGACUUUCUCCUAGGUAAUGGUAUUUGACUUUGAAUCCUGAGUUUGCCCUGUGAGGAGGUUGGACAGAUGACUUUAGUCCCACUUAAGUGCUAAUGGAGAUGGAGGGUUAGGGUGGCUUAUCUCUCAGGUCACCCGUGCCCAAAGUGGCAGCUCCAAGAUAGCUUCAGUGCAGAGCUGUUGGCAUCAGCCAGCUCCUGCUCCUUGCUCUGCCUUCUACACCUGUCGGGUCUGGUGACAUCUGGCUGAACUAAACAUCCAGAGAAGCCCCCAAGUAGGAAGGCCUCCGAGUGGCAGCUAGCUGACGGGUGUUGAAAUGGUGUAUGUGCGUGCGAAUGUGCACACGCACACACACACACUCUCUGGUGGCUCCACUCAAAUAUGUGGUAGUAGUUGGCAGUACCCCCAACUGCCCAAUGAAAGACCAUCCCUAAGGGAUAGAGCCCUCCCCAUCCCUAUUCACCAUGCCCCUGGGGGCCAUCUUUCAUUGUAGAAAUAAGGGCUCCAGAGCGAUUAACAAUAUUUCAGAAAGCUUAAGGGAGAUCAUACGUCUCCCUGUGACAGGUUUGCCCAGACUAAAUGAAAUGUCACUUCUCCACAUUUUGCCUGGAAUUCCGUCAGCGCAGUCUGGCUGCGCUGCUUAUCUUAGGCUGAUCAGGAGCCCUGAUUGGACUUUAUAUGCGUCCUUGACAAAUAAAAAUGAAUGAUUACUUAAUAAAUGGAAUCGGUUUGUCAGAUACCGCCUUCUGAAGCGUAGCUCCGAGGAGCUCCAAGAAGCCUAACAAAAAGGAGUCUUGGUGGCACAGAGGUGGGGAACUGGCUGGCUUUUCAGGACCUGCAUUGGCUGAGGCCCAUCUCCCAGGAAACAGAAAACAGUGGCCCUGGGACCCCUUGCCAUCUCAGAACAAGUCUGAAAUUCGACCUAGAGCAAAGUCCUUUUCCUAAUAAGAAUGACAGAGUCCCACGGUAGAUCUCUGGAGUCAGAGUGCUGGUGUUGUAGGGCAGUGGCUUCAGUAUCUUCAUCACUACAGGAACCAGUGAUGACUACCACAGGGGUAUCUACAAAAGGUCACUGGAUCCUAGGCCCUGUGACAUGCACAUACACUUCUGCAGCUACCUGUGAGAGCUUGUACUUACUGAAUCCAGAAGUAUACGUAGCUGCUUUGAGGUCUCAGGGGAGAGGUGCCCCUGUAUAGAAGGGAAUAGCUAAUUUAGCAGCUGGGGUUUAUACCUGCUUUGAAGAAACAGGGCUAUGCCAUGAACAGCUUUAACCUCUGUGUUCUCAGUCUCUUGUCUGAAGAGUUGGUUGUGGGUCAUAACUAUACUUACAUUCUGAGCAUAGUAAGGAUGGCAGCAGUGUUCAAAUGCAGGAUUACUCUUUAAUCAAGUCUUUUAUAGCCCAGGCUAGCCUUGGACUUUCGGUCCUCCCAUCUCAGGCUCUUAAGUGCUGAAAUUAUGUCUAUGCUACUAUACUUGACCAUUCUUGAUCUUUUAAGUUGAUGCUGAUUAUGAAUGCUUGGGGCUUAGGAAAGACUGAUAGGACUAGGAUAGACACUGGAGGUGGAAGCACAGAUGCCAGGGAGACCAGGGAGAACUCAUUCACAUUGAAUGCAGAGCCUUACUUUACCUGUGUGGUACUGUUACAAGCAAAGGCAUGCAUAAUAGAGCCAGUCUAUAGCACAUCAAUUAUACCCCAAUAAAGCCAUUUAAUAAAACAGAGCCAGUCCCCACUGUGCUAGGAGCUUCCGAUAGUGAACCAGAUGAUCAUUUGUCAAAUAAUCACUCGAGUAAUUGCUAGUGCUAUAAAAGACC
rnacentral:lncRNA from 1 species